CUAUCUCAUGAACUUCAUCAAGUUCAAUUUUAUUGGCAUUAGUUUCUUUUUAAAAAAAACUUUUUUUUCAAAAAAUCUAUCUUGUUACUGAUGAACACCUUUUGUUCUUCAGCGAGGUAGAAGUAGGAUCCUUAGUUUCUUUUGGGUACCCUACAAACAAGUAUUUAUCAAACUUUGAUCUAAGCUUAUCUAUAUUUAAACACUUGACAUAAGUUGGACACCCCC
rnacentral:lncRNA from 1 species